GAUGAACGCUGGCGGCGUGCCUAAUACAUGCAAGUAGAACGCUGAAGGAGGAGCUUGCUCUUCUGGAUGAGUUGCGAACGGGUGAGUAACGCGUAGGUAACCUGCCUGGUAGCGGGGGAUAACUAUUGGAAACGAUAGCUAAUACCGCAUGACAACAGUUAUUGCAUGAUAACUGUUUAAAAGGGGCAACUGCUCCACUACCAGAUGGACCUGCGUUGUAUUAGCUAGCUGGUGAGGUAACGGCUCACCAAGGCGACGAUACAUAGCCGACCUGAGAGGGGGAUCGGCCACACUGGGACUGGGGCACGGCCCAGACUCCUACGGGAGGCAGCAGUAGGGAAUCUUCGGCCAUGGACGGAAGUCUGACCGGGCAACGCCGCGUGAGUGAAGGAGGUUUUCGGAUCGUAAAGCUCUGUUGUAAGAGAAGAACGAGUGUGAGAGUGGAAAGUUCACACUGUGACGGUAUCUUACCAGAAAGGGACGGCUAACUACGUG
rnacentral:rRNA from 1 species